rnacentral:rRNA from 1 species
CCUACGGGAGGCAGCAGUGGGGAAUUUUGGACAAUGGGCGCAAGCCUGAUCCAGCAAUGCCGCGUGAGUGAAGAAGGCCUUCGGGUUGUAAAGCUCUUUUGUCAGGGAAGAAACGGUCUACUCUAAUACAGUGGGCUAAUGACGGUACCUGAAGAAUAAGCACCGGCUAACUACGUGCCAGCAGCCGCGGUAAUACGUAGGGUGCAAGCGUUAAUCGGAAUUACUGGGCGUAAAGCGUGCGCAGGCGGUUAUAUAAGUCAGAUGUGAAAUCCCCGGGCUCAACCUGGGAACUGCAUUUGAGACUGUAUGGCUAGAGUGUGUCAGAGGGGGGUAGAAUUCCACGUGUAGCAGUGAAAUGCGUAGAUAUGUGGAGGAAUACCGAUGGCGAAGGCAGCCCCCUGGGAUAACACUGACGCUCAUGCACGAAAGCGUGGGGAGCAAACAGGAUUAGAUACCCUGGUAGUCCACGCCCUAAACGAUGUCUACUAGUUGUCGGGACUUAAUUGUCUUGGUAACGCAGCUAACGCGUGAAGUAGACCGCCUGGGGAGUCGGUCGCAAGNUUAAAACUCAAAGGAAUUGACGGCUGAAGNGNGCGACGACGACGACGAGGGAGGAGG